rnacentral:rRNA from 1 species
GUGAGGAAUAUUGCGCAAUGGAGGCAACUCUGACGCAGCCAUGCCGCGUGCAGGAAGAAGGCGCUACGCGUUGUAAACUGCUUUUAACCGGGAAGAAACCCCAGGACGUGUCCUGGGUUGACGGUACCGGAGGAAUAAGCACCGGCUAACUUCGUGCCAGCAGCCGCGGUAAUACGAAGGGUGCAAGCGUUAUCCGGAUUCAUUGGGUUUAAAGGGUGCGUAGGCGGAGCGUUAAGUCAGUGGUGAAAUCCUGCAGUUUAACUGUAGACUUGCCAUUGAUACUGGCGCUCUUGAGUGCGCUUGAAGUGGGCGGAAUGUGCCGUGUAGCGGUGAAAUGCUUAGAUAUGGCACAGAACACCAAUUGCGAAGGCAGCUCACUAAGGCGAUACUGACGCUGAGGCACGAAAGCGUGGGGAUCGAACAGGAUUAGAAACCCCUGUAGUCC